UACUAAGUUACAAAUUAAAUUAAUGAUAAUUCUCUAAUUUAUUAAAUUGGUUACUGAGUAAAACAUAUUAUAAUUUCCUAGACAUUAUGUACAUCUCAUUGGCACUUGUAUGGAUAUGUUUCAAAAUAAUUCAUGUAGAAAAUGUUCGAUGUCCGAUUGGAGAAAUGACAGAUGAAAAACUCUGCACAGAAUUAAGAACAAAAACUUUGAUGAAUAAAUUCUAUAUACGUAAGU